rfam:Triticum urartu cultivar G1812 contig627908, whole genome shotgun sequence.
CAAGCUCGGGUGAUGAUUACAAGUGCAUAGUUCAGAUGACCAUACUGUGAUGACUUGAACAAAAUAGUCUUUUGCUCCUAGCUGAUGACCUUU